CGUUCCAGAAGCAGCUCCGUUUACCGCAUCACCAACGAUGGUGUGGGAAUCAAUCCUCAGCAAAAUGCAGGAAAUGUCUUCCUCAAACAUGGUUCUGAACUUUGCCUGAUUCCUUGUGACAGGGUGGGAGCUUUUUAAUGCUGAAAACUUCACUGUCAUCAGAGUAAGAAGACUAGUUAUCACCUCCUUUAAUUAUUGAUCCAUUUUCUUAGUAUGUUUCUAUUUUUACUCUUUAAGUGUAGACCAUAGCUGAUAACAUUUUUUUCAAAAAAAAAAAAUGAUAUAAGAGCUAUAUAAUUACUAUAUAAUCCCAAAGGCCAAAGUUGCCCAUAAAAACUCUAAAUUAAUGGCCAAUGAACCAUUUGCCUUUUUAAACUGAAUCCUUACUGCAU